GGGAUGUUCAUGCCUAACAAUAAUAGUUGGAAUAGUGUUAAUACAUAUUUCAAAAGCAGCUCUACCAACUGGAUGUACUAGUGGAACUCCGACUUGCCCCGGCAAUUCCGCUUGUAAGACAGAUGCGUGUGUUUGUAACGACGGUUUUAAGCUUGACUCAACAAAAAAUGGAUGUGAAGCAAAAGUAUUUGGUGAUUCUUGUGAUUCAACAAACGGUUGCACAGGUUUAUUGAAUACCGCUUGUACAAAUAGCAAAUGCGAAUGUGCUGCCGGAUAUGCAAACAAGAAUUCUGUUUGAACCAAAGUUAUUGGAGGAUCAUGUUCAGGAACUGCUGCAUGUCCUGGUGACGUUAAUACAAUUUGCAAGAAUUCAUUAUGCGCGUGUGCUGAUGAUUAUGUAGAGAAAACCAACGUUUGCACAAAACCUCAAGUUUCUACAGUUGUGUGUUCAACCACGGGAACUGAGUGUAGUGCUAUCCCAUUUGCGGUAUGUGAUAAACCUACUAACCUUAAAUGUAAAUGUAAAGACGGUUACAAGGAAGAUUCAAAUGGUGGAUUUACUUGCAUUAAAGUGCUAGGAACUCAUUGCUCCGGAAGCAGUGACUGUACAGCUGACACUAAUUCAGAUUGCACAGGUUCUAAAUGCACGUGCAACACAGGUUACGGCGAGAGGGACAAUGUUUGCAAAAAAUUGUUGAAUACUGUGACAUGUUCGGCAAAUGGUAAGGAAUGUGACAAACCAGACCAUGCUGAAUGUGAUGAUGAAGGAAAGUGUACAUGCGCGGCUGGUUUCACAAUGAACGUCGACGUCUGCAUAGCUAAGAAUUCAGGUACUACUCUGACAAUGAAACUCGGUAUCAUUGUUCUAACCGUAUUGGUUGCAAUUCAUGCGGCAUUCAAGAGUAUUAGCUGAAGAAUGUCAACAGCUGACUUUAUGGUUCGGAUUUUUUUUCGGAAAGACUUAUUUGUAGUAUUCACUAUUUUGUUUUAAAGAGUGACAAUUUAUUUAGUGGUUGAAGUGUUUUUGAAAGGGCUAAAAAUAUUAAUUAUAUACGAAAAAUUAUUAUCUACAAAUCUACAAAGUGGAACAUGUAAAAAAUUAUUCAGAUAUCAUAUUGAUUACUUGCUAUUAUUUUAAAAAAUCAAAACGAACAUUGUCGUUGAAUAAUUGCACGAUUAUUAAGACCAACCAUUUACUUAUAUGUAUCUAUGAUUUUCUGUACUUGAUAUUACUUGUUAUUUACUUGAUUGUGAGAAAAACAAGAAGAUGUAUAAAAGUACAAGAAGUAUGAUUAGAUUUAUAAGUUAAAAUAUAUUAAAAGAUAAACAGAUGUACAGACAUUAAAGUUUUCAAUCUA